rnacentral:lncRNA from 1 species
UACACCAAUAGUUACUACUUACUACUCUCCCUCUCUCUCUCUGUGUAAACAGCUCUACCUAAGGUUAUCGGACCCAUCCACAUGUUGCCAUCAAGGUUGCAACUUCUAACUAUUUUCGUCUUAUCUACUACUAUUUUUGGUAAAGUUAGAAAGAUAAGAAGUAGCUCUUUGGCUUGACCAUUAGCCUUUUUAGUUGAAUGUUUAUCUUGAUUCUUCACUUCUGUCAUGUUUUGACCGUUCAGGUUUCUCUCCAAAGCAAGGCUUUUAGUCUCAGAGGCUUUGGGGUUACAAUCAUGGUUCCACAGGUGAUGGUUGCUGCACCUUUUCUAAUAAAGAUUAUAAUCUUCUGAGGGAAAGUCUUUAGCAUUGUUAAGAAAGUAAUGACUCUGUAACCAUUUGGUGCUAAAUGUAUCUUUGUAUGAUGAUUAUGUGGGAAAUAAUGUAAUAUAGUCUGUCCUAAAUUUGUUUGCUUCUAUAUUAGGUCGGUCAAGCCGACGUGACAUACGGUGGAGAUCCUAAGAGCCAAUUGGAAUCUACCAAGUAGCUUCGAGUCAAAAGAUUAGGAAGAACAUGAGCCACAAGUUGAAGCAAAUGGUGGGUCAGUCAAAAGAUGAAUAAGGUUGGUUAUAUCAACAUCACCGAUGGGUCUGUUUAUACAAAAACCAAUUUGCAUAUGAUCACCAUCAUAUUCAUAGUAACAAAACAUGCACAAGUCCAUCAGCGUUUGUCACAUCUCUGUCACCUUUUGGGAAUAUGAUAAAACUCGAUAUUAUCUAUUUUGGCUUUAUUUGAUUUCAAACUUGUGGAAUUAAACACAUUGAUGUGUUCAAAACUACAUGGGUCAAAUAAAAUUUGGUGGAGGACGAUGCAAAUAACAAUUUUAGAAGUUAACGGC